rnacentral:tRNA from 1 species
AUGAAAUGAAGUAAGGAAGUUUUUAAUUGAUUUGCAAUCAGUUUAUAUGGUAACAUA